CUCUCUCUCUCUCUCUGUAACUGAAGCUAAAACCAUGAAGCAAAGCUUUCAUCACAGUGUUCUUCUCCUCUUCCUUCUUUUCCUUUUUCAUUCCUCAAAAUUAUAUGCAAGUACAAUGACAAGCAAAGAAGGAAAAGAGGAGGUGAACCUCAAUGCAAUGACUAGUAGCGAGGACUCUCUUGUGCAAAUGGAGCUAAUGGGUUCAGAGGUCUGUGAAAGUGGGGAUGAAGAAUGCUUCAAGAGAAGAAUAGUCUUAGAGGCUCACUUGGACUACAUCUACACCCAGCAUCACAAGCCUUGAUGACUUACGCCUAAAUUCCAUAUAUUCCUGAUCAUGUUUAUAAAAUUCAUCUCUAAAUAGCAAUAUCAUAUUUGAAAGCUAUCAGAACUGGUUUUCAAAGGUUCCUUUCUUCUCUUGAUAAUGUAAUUGUACCUAAGUGCAGUUAAUCUAUUUCCAUAUAUGUAUGUCUGUCUCUGAUAACUAUGAUUUCUGUUGCUCAUUGAGUACGUAUGGAACCCUAUAUUUCACCAGAGAGAGAGACGGAAUUACUAUUUCAGCAGGGAAAGUUUUAAAGCCAACUACAGAAGUUCCAAAAUUAUGUCAGAAGGAUAUUGCAGAAACUUUAAAAUCUUGGCAGGUGAAUUGGGGAUUAGACAUUAAAAGAGCAAUUCAAUAAGCAGUUGGAAAGUUGCGCUCAGUAAUUUAGUGAUAGAUUUCAACUGUAUUGUAGUUCCAUGGCAUCAUCUUUAAGACCUUAACUUCAUAGUUGACUUAAAAGUUACUGGUUUCUGUAGGUUCUGUCUUCAUGUAAUAAUAAUAAAAACUGUAUCUUGAGAUGGAUUUAGGUAAGAAAAAAUCUUUAAUAAAAUAAAAGAUGACAUUAUGAUUUUGAGAUAGA
rnacentral:misc_RNA from 1 species